CCAGGAAGCUGCGUGCAAACACUGAGCUCCAAAAGUGUUUAUUAAAUGAAUUUGAACAGUUCAACGCUGGAGGAAGCUAUCGCAUUGCUUGAACUGUAUCUCGUGGUCAUGAUAAUAUCCUUUUCAUGGGCUGUUUAUUUUAUGUUCGUGUCUAAGGCUGGUGUAGGGAAGAAUUAUGGAAUAGACUGGUGAAGAAGUGCAGGAGAGAUUUCAGGGGUUCUGUCUUUUUAAGAUGGCGAAUCUGGCUCUAUAUGGUUAUUAAAGAUUGGAAGUGGACUUCUCCAAGUUCUUGGCAGAUGAUUUUGAUGUGAUGGAGUGGGUGAAUGGAGCUUUUAAAGUGUGUGCACAUGCACAACCUUCUACUCUGGUCAUGAAACUGCAGCUCUUUAUUCAAGAGGUCAACAACUCUAUAGAGGGGACAAUCCACCCGGAGCAACCUGGAGUUAAGUGCCUUGCUCAAGGAUAUGGUGGUUGCUGUGGGGAUCGAACCAGCAACCUUCUGAUUACCAGUUCAGUGCUUCAGACCUCUAUGCCACCACUACUUGUAAAUAUUUAUAUUUUGUAUUUAUUGUUUUUACCUGUGUUUAGAGUAGGUCUACUGUUUAUAAUUACAAAAAUGCCAUAAUUUGUUUUAUAAAAAUCUUGUUGCAUUUAAUCACGGGAGUGAAGAAGAUCCAUGUGUUUACUAUGGUGUUGUUAUUGUCUUAAAUUUUCAAAAGGGCAAAUGUAAAAUAUAUUAACAAUAUCACUUUUAUUAUUCCUUUCUGUCUUUGCAUUUUCAUUUUCAUUUUAUAGGCCCCAGAUAUAGCCCUUCAUCUGAAUUCAAGAAUCGCAAGGGUUAAUCUCACAUUCAUGAUGUGUAACAAUACUUUCAAAUUAUACAAUGCAUUAUUGGGGGGGAACCACUCAAAGAGUAAAAUAAA